UUUAAAAUAGUUUAUUAAAAACAUUGAAUUUUCAACUCAAAAAAGAAAUAUUUAUAAUUCUUUUAAAA
rnacentral:tRNA from 1 species